rnacentral:ncRNA from 3 species
AUGACUCUCUUAAGGUAGCCAA